UCAUCCCCUCCCCCGCCCCCCGUCAUACUAUAGCCUAUUCCCAAGCUCUAGUCCUUCACAUGUUACUGGUCUUGUGAAGUCAGAUUACAGAACACUUGUGUGCACUGCAUUCUGGACCCCCCCCAGCCCCACCCCCUGCCAGACGGUACCAGAUUCCGCCGGGAGCUGGGUCCCUGUGCCGCACUCUGAUGAAGCUUCUCUGAAACCAAUACAGAAAGGCUUCGGUGCGUUGAGAAGCUGUAGUUAACAUCAAAACAUCUCAUUGGCUUUCAUGGACGCCAGAGGAGGUCCCAUGUCAAACAUGCUUGCUUUUUUCCCCUCCAGUUUAACAUGGACUCUUUUAAGACAUUUUUUUUUCAAAAGAAUCACCAGUGUAAAGUGUCCUACGAGUUUCCGCCAUCCAGAAUAACCACAGAAAUAACCACAUUUUUGUUUUAGCUGCAGUGAAGUUCUCUGUUCAAAUUGGAUGUUUUUUUUUCUAAAAAAAAAAAAUGCUGUUCCAGUUUCUCAGAUUGUAUGAAACCUAACAAAGGCACUGUGGUUACAGCAGUGUUUGUGUGUGUUUAUUUUAGCAUGUGUACCAGCCCUGGGACUGGCAAACAGCUUUCUUGUAUAGGAUUGUUGAAUAUCAUUUUUUCCAUUGGUCUUCCUAACUGACAGACAUUUUUUAUCAAAUACUUGUACACAGAUAUGAAACCACCGACAGUCUGAAGAUUUGACAGCUACCAAAAGCAGUUCCAAAAAGUACAGUAGUAACCCUCAGGACAUGUUCUUAUUAAAAAAAAUAAUUAAAAAUCCAUUAAAAACAGUAAAGUCAAAUAAAGGAUUUUGACUUGAUUUUUUCCCAUCAUUAGCACACUUUAAUUACAGAAUAACAGGUUAAAAAACACUGCUUUUUCAGUGUAAUCCUCGCCAUUCUCUAGUAAUAUAAUUAUACAAUGUUUUAUUCUAAUAUUGUAAUGUCUUUUUCAAAACAGGCAAUAUAUUAUUUUAUAUAUUUAUUUGGAGUUAGUGUUGCAUCUUAGUCUUUAACUACAGCCAAACAGUAAUAUAUUUUAAUGUAAAAUAAAGUUUCUAUCAGAAUAUGUUAAAAUCUUAAAUACUGAAUAUUAUUCCCAACUUUAAACUCAUUCCUUUCUAUGAUACCAUAAAUUUUAUUACUGUAGUAAUUUUCCUGCUUUUACACUGCUGACUACAGAGCAAAUCAUACGUGUUCAGUAAUAUAUACAGUAAUUAACUAUAUUCAUUUAACUCUAUUAGCUUCAGCAAGGAAGACCAAGAGGACAUACCCCUUCCUGCUUCUGUAAUGCCAUUGACACACCCUCACCAUAGCAUGAACAUGCCUUCUCCGUACCAUGGACACACCCCUCCUUGCCACGGGCCCGCCCUCUCCAUACCAUGGACACACCCUUCCUUGCCACGGGGCCGCCCUCUCUGUACCAUGGACACACCCCUCCUUACCACGGGGGCGCCUUCUCCGUACCAUGGACACACCCCUCCUUGCCACGGGCCCGCCCUCUCUGUACCAUGGACACACCCCUCCUUACCAGGGGGCCGCCUCCUCCAUACCAUGGACACACUCCUCCUUACCACGGGCCCGCCCUCUCCAUACCAUGGACACACCCCUCCUUGCCACGGGCCCGCCCUUUCCAUACCAUAGACACGCCCCAUGCUCUCACCGUACCCCUUACUGUACUACACGAUUAGCCUCUCUGUGCUUCUGUGAUACCAAGCUGCCACCGGAUCUUCCUACGUUUCCUCUAGUAAAUUUUAUUUUAAACUGCCAGAAAUGCCAACAAAACAGAGGAAUACCUUUGCAGCAUUUCCAGCGUGUCGAAGGAGGGCUUUGUCGCUUAGUUUUCUCCGUCGACGGCGAACCUGUAGGUCUCCGUGACGGAUCUCCCGCUUGACUCCCCGCUUCCGUAAACAUGACACCAAGGUUAAUGUCCUCUAAACAUUCUGCUUAAAAGCAAGGGAAUGUAGUAACAUUCACUAUUUUGUUUUUGUUUUGUUCUUAAUUUCCAAAAUGAAUUCUUUGAAACGAAGGAGCCACUGCCUUAAAAAGUAAUGUAUCAUGGCUUUUACACUAUAAGAAAACAAAUCAUUUGUCUCCAUCUCCAUUUCCUCUGUUCACAUGUGACACAGUGUAAAUUGAGCCUAUAAAGGUAUUUUCACAUACGAUUUGAGAUUAUGUGACAUAUUUCAUAGUGAUUAUUAUUCGUCUUGAGUCAAACGUGUGCCAGUCUCUUCUUAAGCUGAAUAUUCAGAUUUUAUUCUCUAAACACAGUAUUCAUUAUUUAAAUGCUGGCGAUCUGUCGAUAAUAGCAACUGCAGACAGGGUGAAUACGUUUGGUUUUAUAUACCAAACCCAUUUUGGUUGCAUUUAACAGUUUCAUAGCCACAGCCAAGACUAUCUGGGAACAGAAUGGAUCUUAGAAGUUGUGAAACUAGUUUCUGCCCACUGCACUAAAAAUGAGCGUUGGCUUGUUUGAAAAUGAAAACAGUCGGCAGGAUGAAGCCCACAAUGUACAAGACAGACUAUAAAACAGACAUUUCCACAGACAAUUUAGUAGACGGAUGACAGAACUGGCUGCCAGUUUUUUCUCCACUGUUUCUUCCCUCCCUUUCUGUAUAAGCGGUGUUAUUGAGGGUGCUGGAGGACCGGCCCGCGUGCCGCAUUUCCUCCGCGCCAAUUCAGCCAGCUCCACGGAUCUCAAACAGUAUGUCUUGCAUCUCAGGUAGAAUGCAACGUUUCCACCCCACUCACCAAUGAAACGGAAAUCGCAGAAUCACGUGGCAGAAGUUCUGGGUUUUAGUUGUACAUGUUUACGUGUUCUUGGAAUACAGUGCACUGUUUUAAACGUGUUGAGUAUUACUUUGCAUAGACCUAGUUCACAAAAGAAAGACUCCAGUCGUUCUGUGAUAGAGACAAGCCGGCUUGCUGUGCUACAAUCACUAGAAAGGUGCCACGUCCUGGAAGCUCGGGGCUGCUGAGGGUUUUUGGCCCAGGAAAGUUGGCCCUUCAUGAGGUUUAGGUAGAUUCUGUCUUUCUGCUGUACUUGGGCAAUGUUACUGUGUAUUAAUGAUGAAAAAAUAUCAACAUGUUCCCAUACACAUUUUGUAUUGGUUCAUAAAAAGACAUUUUUACAAAAAAAAAAUAAAAAGAGAGAGUACUUGUCUUAAUAAAAGAGUUAUUAAUGUUCAAAGUA